CAUUAAGGAAUAAAAAUAUGAUCACAAUAAAAUUGCCUGAAAAAAAUUGUAAAAAAACUGAAAAAAAAUGCUGAAAAAAUUAGGAAUAGCCAUUGAAAUUAUAGAAAAAAUCCAAAAAAUAGCAGAUUAAAUUCCAAUGAAACUACCGUAGAAAUUUUCAAAAACAAAACAACCAUGCCGAACGAACGCUCAAAGUUAUGGUCAUACUGCGGUCUGGCGAGUACAACCCGAAUAAAACGGUAUCAUACACUAAUUUAACAGUGUAUCAUUUUCUGAUCAUACGUGUUAUCGUAAACUGGAUGAUACAUAGAUGAUACGACAUAUCGUAUUCAUGAUAGCAGUUAUCAUUUUCGGUGUUUCGAUGAUAGACCGAAUGGGUUGUUAAGUAUCGUUACCAUUCAAAAAUGCCAUUUUUCCCGAACAAAAUUUUUGUGGAAUCAUACAUGUUAUGAUCGCUUUAUCAUCAACAUUAUGAUACAGCGAAUAAUAAAAACAAAACGGAAAUAUUUCACCAAAUCUGUUUUGCCGACUGAGAAAAAAGCUAGCACACCCCUGCGGGCAUUUGCCGGGCACUGUCAAAUUUGUCUACGAUUACGUGAAUCAUUGUUUACUUUUGCGGUUUUUUUGUACUUAUUUUGUUGAAUUGGGAAUCGAAGCGUGUGAUUCCCGAGGUUGCUUUCACUGCUUCUCGCGCGGUGUCUACUUCCUACUCUAAAUCGGAUCAGUGCUCGCGAGUGGCUCAAAUGCGUGAAAGUUCUUCACCUGGAGAAGUGGAUAGGUGAGAUUAAAAUAAAAGAAGCUGGGGUAGGAUAAUUACUAAGCGUAAUAAGAAACCUCCCACUAUCAACGACCAAUCUUCUUUUGGUCCCCUCGCAUGCUGUGGCAGCCAAUGAAGGUGAGUUUCCAUGAGAAUUAUCCAGUGAUAUUAGUCAAAGGCUGGUGCACGGCGGUCUCCAAAAGUAGUUUCUUACUACAGUGAUCUAAAAGCUAGAACUCAAAAGUGCUGCUUUCCGACGAUUAUAACGACACAGAAACACAAAUUGACCAUUUAACCCAUUUCAAAAGUGUGGCAGUGAUUGGAUGUUGAAAAAUAACUCGCCAAAACUAUCGUUAUUUGCGGAGCGUGCAAAACCAUAUUAUUAAAAAUUAUUAAUGUACCAUUGGAUGAAUCAUCAUGAAAAGUGGUAUGAUUCUUGAAACAUACUGAAUAAUGCAAAAUUUUCAUCUUUAAUCGUCCAAUCAUUAAACUAUUAUAACUUUUGUUGUAAUUAUUCCACGAACAAAUAUCUUAUAAUAUGAACGAUUCCAUUGAUCGUAUUUUUCUAUGCGGGAAAGUCGUUCGAAACUGAGAGAGAGGAGACAGCUCACUGACAGCCACGAUGUUUACAUGUCUUCUUCUUACUUCUUUUUUCAACUUUGUGCGCCGCACAAUGGUUUGAAAACAUAUAAUUGGUCAAAAAUGAUUUGCAUAUUGAGUUUGUAGCGACAGAGCAUGGAAAAUAAAUGGAUUCGUUGCG